rnacentral:lncRNA from 1 species
AUGACUCUUAACCCACAAGGCCACAAGCCAUUGAUCCAACUGCAUCUUCAACUCGUCUUAAUCUCUCCUAUAUAUGUACUCUUUUGUUUGUAAUGCAAAAGAAAAUAAAACAUAAUAUUUUCAGUUGAUAAACUACUAAUGAAAUAUUAUACGUCAACGAAAUUUAGUAUAUAAACUACAAAACGGCAAAAAUAGCUUUCUCGAAACCAACAAAGUUAAUUGGACAAACGACAAAAAAACUCACAAAAGCCAUAGAUAGAUUUUUCAUUAACCACGUAACCGACACUUUCUUCUUUUGGGAUAAAUCUAUUUUUUUUUAAAAGCCAUAGAUUCUUAGGACACCUUAUUUUAAUGAAUUAUCUAAAUUUAAUCGGACAUUACAAACGUAACAUAUACUUACAUAUGCGUUAUUUAAUGAAAACAUUGACAAAAGUAAAUCAUUUUAGGCAACGAAACUUUCUGGACCCCAGAAUGCUCUAUAUAUAUACCUAUUAUUGUAGUCUUCCAAUAUUAUUACAUCGCAAACUAAGCUAUAGUUAUUCAGACCUCAAAUUCUACAAACGAAAUCGGUUAAGAGCUAGGAGAAAAUGAGCAAUCUUCGCCUAACCAUUGCAGUGUUUUUGGCCGCUCUUGUCUUCACUGCGACUUAGCUUGUACUUAGUUUUUUCUUUUAAUCUCAAAUUGAAUUUCUUUAUUGUUUCUUAUACAAGAACUGUGUUUUGAAUAAACUUUUUUAUUGGCAGUUUCAAACUCUGUGGUGGAAGCCAAGGGGAAAGAGGCCACAAUCAAAUUUUCAUGCAAAAAGAAUUCGGACUGUUUUACAAACAUUGCUUGUUAUGCUUUGUACUGAUUACCGAUGUGAUAAAGGAUUAUGUAAAUGCCAUGGUUUUGGUGGAGAAAAGGAAAAUCCCACAGCUGCGCCAUUAACUGCUUAAUUUCUCCAUUUCUUUUUUAAAUUUAUCUUUUGUUUUCUUGUAAUGCAAAUGGAUAAUUAAAAAGAUUUCAGAUCAAAUUAUAUCCUAUUAAUUAUUUUAAAUCAUUAUAUUUUAUCUCAUCUCUGCUUGAUCCUUUUACAUAAAAAUAUAAUAAUCACAUCAUCCAUAUUUUUUUUCUGCAUUUGUACGUGUUAAAAACUGCCACUAGUGAUUAAAUCCGGAAGUUAAUUUCAGGCAAAGUUAAUUUAGUUUUUUCCACCAAUUUUUUAAUUAUUAAAUUGUGUUUGGUUAUAUGAAUAAUACUAGGAAAAAGUAUGAGAUAUUUUUGCCCUUAAUAAGUGUCUUUUUUAAAAAAACAGCUUAUUAAUUAAUGACAUUUAAUGUAAAUCUUAACACGUCCAUAACUAUUUACUUAAAAAUGUUCCUCAAUAAGUAGUAUUAGAUAUUAGCAGUCAACUUUUCACAAAAAAAAAAAAAAAAAAAGAUAUUAUUAGUCAACAAAAUAAAAGAUUUGUUUAGUCAAAAACAAAACUCCAUAUUAUUAGUCAACAAAAAUUAUGAUAUUUUCAUUUAUGUUUACUAUUAAUGUAUACAGAUUUAUAGUUCCAAACAUUAAAAAACAGAUAAAAACCACUCUCUACUUAACCAUCAUGCCCCUAUAUAUAUAUGUUUUGUUCUGUCUUUUGUGUAUACUAUACACUAAUUUCAUUACAAACCAAACUAAAAUAAUAUACAUCGUUCAUUUCAUAUUCAACAGAAGGAAUCGGUUUUAAAACUCAAAGAGAAAAAUGAACAACCUUCGCGUAAUUAUGUCAGUGUUAUUGGCCGUUCUUGUCUUCACAGCGACUGGUAAUUAGUUUCUUUACCUUUAACGCAAUGAUCGGCCGCUCUAAACAAUUAACAGUGUUUUAAUUGAAUUGUUCUCUUUCUUCUUCUCGCAGUUUCAGAGUCUGCAGAGGAAAUGGGGAAGGGUGAGGUCACAAUCUCACUUAGAUGCAAAACGAAAACAGAAUGCUUAAAGAACAUUGCCUGUGAAGCUUGUGUCGAUUGUCGAUGCGAUAAAGGAAUUUGUAAAUGCCAUGGUUUCACAGCAGAAACCAACAAUCCAACCGUUUAACUCAUAUUUCUCCUAAAUGUUUUCUUUCUUUUUUAAUAUAAAAUGUAAAAGAAAAUAAAUCGCAAAGUUCAAUUAAUACACCAAUGAAAACUAUUUAUCAUUAUCAAUCAUUUGUUAUAUGAUUAUAUAUGGAAUGACGACGUGUGUUAAGAUUGAGAUCUCAAAUUCCACCCACAAAAACUAUGGAAACAGAAAAAAAUUAAAAGCACACGAACCAAUGUGAGAUUUACGUCAUCUUUUCGUCUUUGCAUAAUAAUGUGAAGGAGAGAAAGAGAAUUGCAAUGGCCAUUAGCUUGUAAACUGGAUGAGAAGAAGCCAUUUUGUUUCUUUGUUUUGAUUUAGUGUGCAUUUAGUAAGGUUAUAGGGUUUCUUUAUAUAGAAGGAGUAGAUUGCAACAAAAGCAUCCUCAGUGAGUGGCGUAGACUUGGAAUUUCC